AGAGUUUGAUCCUGGCUCAGGAUGAACGCUAGCUACAGGCUUAACACAUGCAAGUCGAGGGGCAGCAUGGGAGUUGCUGCAAUUCCUGAUGGCGACCGGCGCACGGGUGAGUAACGCGUAUCCAACCUUCCCCUUAGUAGGGCAUAGCCCGGUGAAAAUCGGAUUAAUACCCUAUGUUCUUCACAGCAGACAUCUAACGUGAAGCAAAGGUUCACCGCUAAGGGAUGGGGAUGCGUCUGAUUAGGUAGUAGGCGGGGUAACGGCCCACCUAGCCUUCGAUCAGUAGGGGUUCUGAGAGGAAGGUCCCCCACAUUGGAACUGAGACACGGUCCAAACUCCUACGGGAGGCAGCAGUGAGGAAUAUUGGUCAAUGGGCGAGAGCCUGAACCAGCCAAGUAGCCGUGCAGGAUGACGGCCCUAUGGGUUGUAAACUGCUUUUAUAUGGGGAUAAAGUUCACCACGUGUGGUGUUUUGUAGGUACCAUAUGAAUAAGGACCGGCUAAUUCCGUGCCAGCCGCGGC
rnacentral:rRNA from 1 species